GUUUACGUUUGUUUUCAAAAAUAUAUGGUUGUAUCGACCUUUUGCUUCGUAAAGUUUAUUAUCUUUAUUUCACGAAAAACAUACAUUUUUAAUAGUUUUUUAGUUUACAGAGCUAUUGUUAGUUGCAUGAGGAAAAUAUUUCAUCUGGAAUGCACGACACCGAUGGAUGGCGACGGGGUACGAAAAUAUUGCUUGCUUCAUAAGAACGGAAGCCUUCGUUUGAUUUGAGUACAUACGUCAGCAAAAACACAUGAACUUCCUCGCCCUUUCGACGUUGCACAAGCAUAAUGAAAAAUGUUUCUACACUAUACGAAAAAAAACCUCCCAGUGAUGAUAUGUUGCAGCAUCAUUUACGGAAACUAAAGAUUGCUUUUUGUGAGAAGGCUAGCAUGGAAAUGUACCACAGACAAAAUCAUACCAUCAGGAGUUGAAAGGAACAUCAGUUGGAAGCAAGAAGACUAGGAAUGUAAUGUAAUUGUAAUUUACAUGUAGCUGUGCAAGAUUUGUGAACAGAAAAUUACAUUUUUUUGUAAAUGAUUUAUCUAUUUACAGUAUUUCGUAGUAAUUGUGUCACGAUGAUCCAUAAUAUGAAUAAAAAUGAAACAGGUGUUCAAUCUCCGGCGAGAAUUCCGAUACAAUAAAUAAUUGUUGUACUGAAAUAA